AUAGCCCACCCGUUUUUGGGGCCUUUUUCCGCUGGACGAACAUGGCGCCCCGUGCUUCGGCAGUUAUUUUUGGGUGCAGCUGUGCCCGAGGCCUAUUUUUGGCAUGCGGAGGCCCCUCGCAAACUCUCGCGACAUUCCGAGUCUGGCGGACGAAGUAGGCCAGCCCCACCCCCCAAGGCUAUAGCCCACCCGUUUUUGUGGGCUUUUUCCGCUGGAGAAAGUUGGCGCCCCGGCCUUCGGGCGGUUCUUUUUGGUCCCGGCUCUGCACGCGGCCUAUUUUUGACACACGGAGGUGCCUCGCGAAGUCUCGCCCCAUUCCGAGACCAGCGGACGAAGUUGGCCAGCCCCACCCCACAAGGCUAUAGCCCACCCGUUUUUGUGGGCUUUUUCCGCUGGUCGAACUUGGCGCCCUGGCCUUCGGGCGGUUAUUUUUGGGUGCGGCUUUGCCCACGGCCUAUUUUUGGCAAAUGGAGGUGCCUCGCAUAGUCUCCCGCCAUUCCGGGUCCGGCAGACGAAGUUGGCCAGCCCCACCCCCCAAGGCUAUAGCCCACCUGUUUUUGUUGCCUUUUUCCGCCGGACGAACUUGGCGCCCCGUGCUUCGGGCAGUUAUUUUUGGGUACAGCUGUGCCCGCGGCCUAUUUUUGGCACACGGAGGCCCCUCGCAAAGUCUCGCGGCAUUCCGAGUCCGGCGGACGAAGUUGGCCAGCCCCACCACCCAAGGCUAUAGCCCACCCGUUUUUGUGGCCUUUUUCCGCUGGACGAACUUGGCGCCCCGGCCUUCGGGCGGUUAUUUUUGGGCGCGGCUUUGUCCACGGCCUAUUUUUGGCAAAUGGAGGUGCCUCGCAUAGUCUCGCGCCAUUCCGGGUCCGGCAGACGAAGUUGGCCAGCCCCACCCCCCAAGGCUAUAGCCCACCUGUUUUUGUUGCCUUUUUCCGCCGGACGAACUUGGCGCCCCGGGCUUCGGGCAGUUAUUUUUGGGUACAGCUGUGCCCGAGGCCUAUUUUUGUCACGCGGAGGCCCCUCGCAAAGUCUCGCGGCAUUCCGAGUCCGGCGGACGAAGUUGGCCAGCCCCACCCACCAAGGCUAUAGCCAACCCGUUUUUGUGGCCUUUUUCCGCUGGACGAACUUGGCGCCCCAGCCUUCGGGUGGUUAUU
rnacentral:lncRNA from 1 species